GCCGCUGUGAUGGAACUGGCAGACUUGACAGACUCAAAAUCUGUUGUCCGUAAGGGCGUAUCGGUUCGAAUCCGAUCAGCGGCACCA
rnacentral:tRNA from 1 species